rnacentral:rRNA from 1 species
UUUGACCUCAAAUCAGGUAGGACUACCCGCUGAACUUAAGCAUAUCAAUAAGCGGAGGAAAAGAAACUAACAAGGAUUCCCCUAGUAACUGCGAGUGAAGAGGGAAAAGCUCAAAUUUAAAAUCUGGCAGCUUCGCUGUCCGAGUUGUAAUUUAGAGAAGUGUUGCCCGCGUUGGACCGUGUAUAAGUCUCCUGGAAUGGUGCGUCAUAGAGGGUGAGAAUCCCGUCUUUGACACGGACUACCAAUGCAUUGUGGUACGCUCUCAAAGAGUCGUGUUGUUUGGGAAUGCAGCACUAAAUGGGUGGUAAAUUCCAUCUAAAGCUAAAUAUUGGCGAGAGACCGAUAGCGAACAAGUACCGUGAGGGAAAGAUGAAAAGAACUUUGGAAAGAGAGUUAAACAGUACGUGAAAUUGUUGAAAGGGAAACGUUUGAAGUCAGUCGCGUCGGCUGGGAAUCAGUCUUGCUUUUGCUUGAUGUACUUUCUAGUCGACGGGUCAGCAUCAGUUUUGACUGCUGGAUAAAGGUUGAGGGAAUGUGGCACCUUCGGGUGUGUUAUAGCCCUUGGUCAUAUACAGUGGUUGGGACUGAGGUACUCAGCACGCCGCAAGGCCGGGUUUCGACCACGUUCGUGCUUAGGAUGCUGGCAAAAUGGCUUUAAGCGACCCGUCUUGAAACACGGACCAAGGAGUCUAACAUGCCUGCGAGUAUUUGGGUGGAAAACCCGAGUGCGCAAUGAAAGUGAAAGUUGAGAACUCUUUAGAGUGCAUCGACGCCCGGACCAGACGUUUUCUGACGGAUCCGCGGUUGAGCAUGUAUGUUGGGACCCGAAAGAUGGUGAACUAUGCCUGAAUAGGGCGAAGCCAGAGGAAACUCUGGUGGAGGCUCGUAGCGAUUCUGACGUGCAAAUCGAUCGUCGAAUUUGGGUAUAGGGG